CGCGGAGUGGAGCAGUUGGCAGCUCGUUGGGCUCAUAACCCAAAGGUCGGAGGUUCGAGUCCUCCCUCCGCUA
rnacentral:tRNA from 1 species